UUGACCUCGGAUCAGGUAGGGAUACCCGCUGAACUUAAGCAUAUCAAUAAGCGGAGGAAAAGAAACCAACCGGGAUUGCCUCAGUAACGGCGAGUGAAGCGGCAAGAGCUCAAAUUUGAAAGCUGGCUCCUUCGGAGUCCGCAUUGUAAUUUGCAGAGGAUGCUUUGGGUGCGGCCCCCGUCUAAGUGCCCUGGAACGGGCCGUCAGAGAGGGUGAGAAUCCCGUCUUGGGCGGGGUGUCCGUGCCCGUGUAAAGCUCCUUCGACGAGUCGAGUUGUUUGGGAAUGCAGCUCUAAAUGGGUGGUAAAUUUCAUCUAAAGCUAAAUACUGGCCGGAGACCGAUAGCGCACAAGUAGAGUGAUCGAAAGAUGAAAAGCACUUUGAAAAGAGAGUUAAACAGCACGUGAAAUUGUUGAAAGGGAAGCGCUUGCGACCAGACUCGCCCGCGGGGUUCAGCCGGCAUUCGUGCCGGUGUACUUCCCCGUGGGCGGGCCAGCGUCGGUUUGGGCGGCCGGUCAAAGGCCCCUGGAAUGUAGUACCCUCCGGGGUACCUUAUAGCCAGGGGUGCAAUGCGGCCAGCCUGGACCGAGGAACGCGCUUCGGCACGGACGCUGGCAUAAUG
rnacentral:rRNA from 1 species